rnacentral:rRNA from 1 species
GAUCAUGGCUCAGGACGAACGCUGGCGGCGCGCCUAACACAUGCAAGUCGAACGAGCGAGAGAGAGCUUGCUUUCUCGAGCGAGUGGCGAACGGGUGAGUAACGCGUGAGGAACCUGCCUCAAAGAGGGGGACAACAGUUGGAAACGACUGCUAAUACCGCAUAAGCCCACGACCCGGCAUCGGGUAGAGGAAAAGGAGCAAUCCGCUUUGUAGAUGGCCGUCCGCGUCCCGAUUAGU